GCCCGUUUAGCUCAGUUGGUAGAGCAGGUGGCUGUUAACCACCGGGUCGUAGGUUCGAGUCCUGCAACGGGCG
rnacentral:tRNA from 2 species